rnacentral:rRNA from 1 species
AACGAACGCUGGCGGCAGGCUUAACACAUGCAAGUCGAACGCCCCGCAAGGGGAGUGGCUGACGGGUGAGUAACGCGUGGGAACAUACCCUUUCCUGCGGAAUAGCUCCGGGAAACUGGAAUUAAUACCGCAUACGCCCUACGGGGGAAAGAUUUAUCGGGGAAGGAUUGGCCCGCGUUGGAUUAGCUAGUUGGUGGGGUAAAGGCCUACCAAGGCGACGAUCCAUAGCUGGUCUGAGAGGAUGAUCAGCCACAUUGGGACUGAGACACGACCCAAACUCCUGCGGGAAGCAGCAGUGGAGAAUAUUGGACAAUAGGCGCAAGCCUGAUCCAGCCAUGCCGCGUGAGUGAUGAAGGCCUUAGGGUUGUAAAGCUCUUUCACCGAUGAAGAUAAUGACGGUAGUCGGAGAAGAAGCCCCGGCUAACUUCGUG